GUUUAAGAGACAGCAGCCGCCGCGGUAAUACAGAGGGUGCGAGCGUUAAUCGGAUUUACUGGGCGUAAAGCGUGCGUAGGCGGCUUUUUAAGUCGGAUGUGAAAUCCCUGAGCUUAACUUAGGAAUUGCAUUCGAUACUGGGAAGCUAGAGUAUGGGAGAGGAUGGUAGAAUUCCAGGUGUAGCGGUGAAAUGCGUAGAGAUCUGGAGGAAUACCGAUGGCGAAGGCAGCCAUCUGGCCUAAUACUGACGCUGAGGUACGAAAGCAUGGGGAGCAAACAGGAUUAGAUACCCGUGUAGUCCCUGUCUCUUAUAC
rnacentral:rRNA from 1 species